rnacentral:rRNA from 1 species
UACGUAGGGGGCUAGCGUUGUCCGGAAUCAUUGGGCGUAAAGAGCGUGUAGGCGGCCCGGUAAGUCCGCUGUAAAAGUCAAAGGCUCAACCUUUGAAUGUCAGUGGAUACUGCCGGGCUAGAGUCCGGAAGAGGCGAGUGGAACUCCCGGUGUAGCGGUGAAAUUCGUAGAUAUUCGGAGGAACACCAGUGGCGAAGGCGGCUCACUGGUCCAUUACUGACGCUGAGGUGCGAAAGCGUGGGGAGCAAACAGG